AUACGAAGGGGGCUAGCGUUGUUCGGAAUUACUGGGCGUAAAGCGCGCGUAGGCGGAUUGGUCAGUUAGGGGUGAAAUCCCAGGGCUUAACCCUGGAACUGCCUCUAAUACUGCCAGUCUUGAGUUCGGGAGAGGUGAGUGGAAUUCCUAGUGUAGAGGUGAAAUUCGUAGAUAUUAGGAAGAACACCAGUGGCGAAGGCGGCUCACUGGCCCGAUACUGACGCUGAGGUGCGAAAGCGUGGGUAGCAAACGGGAUUAGAAACCCUAGUAGUCC
rnacentral:rRNA from 1 species